AUACGGAGGACGCGAGCGUUAUCCGGAUUCAUUGGGUUUAAAGGGUGCGCAGGCGGCCGUGCAAGUCAGCGGUGAAAGCCCGGGGCUCAACCCCGGAAGUGCCGUUGAUACUGCGUGGCUGGAAUGCGGUCGAGGCGGGCGGAAUAGGGCGGGUAGCGGGGAAAUGCGUAGAUAUGCCACAGAACGCCGAUAGCGGAGGCAGCUCGCAAGGCCUGCAUUGACGCUCGGGCACGAAAGCGUGGGGAUCGAACAGGAUUAGAUACCCUGGUAGUCCACGCCGUAAACGAUGGGCGCUCGUCGUCGGCGACAGACAGUCGGCGGCCAAGCGAAAGCGAUAAGCGCCCCACCUGGGGAGUACGGUCGCAAGGCUGAAACUCAAAUGAAUUGACGGGG
rnacentral:rRNA from 1 species